rnacentral:rRNA from 1 species
AGAGCUAAAAUCAAUUAAUUUUAAUUAAAUAAAUUUACUAUCAAAUCCACCUUCAAACUUCUUUUUAUAAAAUAAUUCAUCUAAAUAAAUUUUAUUGUAACCCAUUUCUACUUAAUUAUAAACUGCACCUUGACCUGACAUAAUUAUUAAUAAAAAUUUAAGAAAAUUUUUUCUCUUUUAAGAUAUUCUGAUGACGGCGAUAUACAAAUUGUAACAAAAUUAAGUAAGGUAUAACGUGGAUUAUCGAUUAUAGAACAGGUUCCUCUGAAUAGACUAAAACACCGCCAAAUUUUUUAAGUUUCAAGAUUAUAACUAAUACUACUCUAGCAUUCAAAUUGUUACAUUUUAAUAAUAGGGUAUCUAAUCCUAGUUUUUAAAUAAACUUUUAUAGCUUAAAUUAAUCAUAUUAAAAUUAAAACUUUAUUUUAAAAUUUCACCUAAAAAAUAAAAUAGUCAUCUUAAUAAAUAUAUCAAUUUAACUAGUACUAAUAAUAUUUACUUACAUUAUUUG